GUCGAGCGAACAGACGAGGAGCUUGCUCCUCUGACGUUAGCGGCGGACGGGUGAGUAACACGUGGAUAACCUACCUAUAAGACUGGGAUAACUUCGGGAAACCGGAGCUAAUACCGGAUAAUAUAUUGAACCGCAUGGUUCAAUAGUGAAAGACGGUUUUGCUGUCACUUAUAGAUGGAUCCGCGCCGCAUUAGCUAGUUGGUAAGGUAACGGCUUACCAAGGCAACGAUGCGUAGCCGACCUGAGAGGGUGAUCGGCCACACUGGAACUGAGACACGGUCCAGACUCCUACGGGAGGCAGCAGUAGGGAAUCUUCCGCAAUGGGCGAAAGCCUGACGGAGCAACGCCGCGUGAGUGAUGAAGGUCUUCGGAUCGUAAAACUCUGUUAUUAGGGAAGAACAAAUGUGUAAGUAACUAUGCACGUCUUGACGGUACCUAAUCAGAAAGCCACGGCUAACUACGUGCCAGCAGCCGCGGUAAUACGUAGGUGGCAAGCGUUAUCCGGAAUUAUUGGGCGUAAAGCGCGCGUAGGCGGUUUUUUAAGUCUGAUGUGAAAGCCCACGGCUCAACCGUGGAGGGUCAUUGGAAACUGGAAAACUUGAGUGCAGAAGAGGAAAGUGGAAUUCCAUGUGUAGCGGUGAAAUGCGCAGAGAUAUGGAGGAACACCAGUGGCGAAGGCGACUUUCUGGUCUGUAACUGACGCUGAUGUGCGAAA
rnacentral:rRNA from 1 species